AACAGUCCAGGCUCUUAAAGAUGAGAUCACUUAUGCCGAGCCAACAUUCUGCAGAAGAAAACCACAUAAAUCGAACGUUAAAGAGGAAGCUAAUGUGGAGUAUGCAUCUGUUGCCAUUAGAAGAUGAUCGGACUGCUGUGUGAUCUUACAUUGGGGCCGGAAUGACAGAGAGGUAUUGUGGGUUGUCACAGACGUGUUUUGCAAGCAGGAAGACGAAGACAGAUGAAUAGAGUUCCAAA